UUAGGUGCAUGGAAAGAGCACAAGUAACAUGGUCUGAGGACAUGGAUGUUUGUUUUUCUGAAACACUUUGGGGAUUCUUAGGGUUUUAGUCAAUGUUUCUUACCUACUGUGAAAGGACCUUUGUGAUUACUGAUUAACAGUUGGCCUUUCUCCAUUACAGAUUGACAUCAGCAAAUGCCAUUACUUAGUGGAUUUGGACACCAUAAGAGAAACACCCCGAGAGCCAAGAUAUUCAUCCAAUAAAGAAGAAUGGAUCAACUUGGCCUACAGACCAUUCCUUGAUGCUUCGAGAUCUUCAAAGCUGCUGCGGGCAUUCUACGUGCCCUUCCUGUCAGAUCAAUAUACAGUGUACGCAAACUACACCAUCCUCAAACCUCGGAAAGCAAAGCAACUCAGGAAGAAAAGUGGAGAGCAGAGAAGAGCAGAACCAACUUACAGGAAGAAUUGAAACUCCUUCUGGACGGCUGUGUUAAGCUGUUCUCCACACUAUGGCCUGUCAUCCGAGAAUUAGCAAGUCUCUCUUGGGCCAUGUGGUCUUCUCCACCAAAGCUCUUCGACAGCUCCUAGCAGACCUUCUUGUUGAAAUCCUAGUGCUGAAAAUGAACACACCCUAAUUGCCAACCUACAUGUUCUUUUCACCUCCAACAAGACUAAGCUACACUAAAGUAAAGUACUUCACAAGACUAGGACCCUGUCCUGGAGCUAUCUCAGGAAAAAGGCAACCAUUUGAGGAAUUGUGACUGAAUCCAUGAUAUAGGAUGUCUCAUUUUCAUUUUAUUUAUUGUAUUGUACAACAAAAUGUAACUCUAUGGGGUUGGUUUUUUUUUUUAAGCUUUAGCAUGCUAUUUCUUGAGUUCAAGACUUCUCUAUGUAAAGGUAAUAACAAACCAUACUAUACCUGUAAAGGACACAUUUGGAGAAAAUUCAUUCUAUCAAUUGAUAGGUUUGGAUAAUAUCAGAUUUUUAAGCAAUGAAUUCAGAGGCCAUUUCUGAGGAAAUUAAAAAUCCCCCCCCCCAGUUUUUUAAACAACCCAAUAUAUAUUUAUAGCACCUAUUUUUGAGUUCUGUAUUCAAAGCAUAUCCUGCAUGAAGUGCUUCUGAUCAAAUAAGUCGUGAUAAGGACCAAUUAAAAUGUAGAAAGUACAUACUAUUUCUCCACCUUUACAUACAGUAUUUCAUAGUUUACAAGACACUUUGUCAUGAUCUCAUCUGAUCCUCACAGUCACAAUGUGAAGUAGACAAGGGAGGUGGGCUUCCCCCCAUUUUACAAAUGAGGACACUGAGACUAAGGAGAGAGGUGAAGAGAUUUGUCCCAGCUCACACAGCCAGUGGGUAUCAGCAGUGGGUCUGGACCCAGGUUGCUGCUCUCCCCUCUAGCAUUCUCUCUUUCUUCCUCACUCGACUCUGAAAACAGUACCUGAAAGAGUGAUGAGGUUGGCCUGACACCUGGCUGGUAAUGUAAUUUUUUAUUUUAAGGAAGACGCUUUUUCUGUAUUUCUUGGAGUUAUUUGAAGCUUUUAGCCUCUGUUGGUCAGAUUGUCACACCAGUGUCUGCGAUGCAGCCUGGCCUAUGGCAAGAACAGAGUGCUUAUGUUGGAAAGUUACACUUCCUUAUAGCCAUACAGGAUCCAGAAUCAGUACCAUUCCUAGAGUCAACCUGGGGUUACAUUAUAGGUGCCUUAUUUCCCUAAGUGUAAUUGUGUCCAGUAUCUGCAAAUAGGAUGGCUCUAUUUUCCAUCUUUCGUUUUAUAAAGAGAAGGACUUUUCAAAAGAAACUGAUCCCAAGAAGGGAGAAAAGACAAGAUAAGGGAAGAAAUGGCUAAUUACCAUAUAAAAACUCUUAUUUUGGGAUCCCAUCCAAAGGAAUUCUGGGAUGGACCUGAAACCCUGGAGAGGCAAUAGUUCUGGACAGUAUAGCAUGAUAGCUGGAGAGGAAAUAGACUGGCAACCCACGUGCUGUUUUGAAGAUCACUGAUAUUUAAUUCUCAGCACUUGAUUCUGGUUUUCUGAGAAUAUAGGCAUGCAUGGUCAGACUACAGGAUAGGAUGGAGAGUUUUCAGUAAAAAAUCUUGCCAUAGAGCCUCCCUGGUGGCGCAAGAGGUUAAGUCUCAGCACUAUUAAGCUACUGUCAGCCACUGCAGCACAAGUUCAAUCCCUGGGCAGGGAGCUGACCCACAUGGCACAGCAGACCUCUCCUGUCUCACCUACUGCUCCCCUCAGCAGUAUAUUUCAGUAGAUCUACCUGUUCUCUUCCCCACUCUGUCUCUGAUGGAUCCUCUCACCCCUACAUCUUCAGCCUACAGCCCAGCUCUUGUAUGCAUAAAUAAAUUAAAUAAAUCUUAAAAAAAAAAUCUUGCCAUCCCUGCAAGUCCAAUAGUGUAUGUCCCUCACAAUGGCAAAUACCCUCUGCUUUUUGCAGAAAUAAGAGAGUUCAGAAAUAGAGCUCCAUGGUGGAUGACUAUCAAAUCCACUACUCUGAUCUUUGUUACCUAUCUAUGCUAAUUAGUUUUACCAUCUUGAGUAUUAAAAAGGGAAAAGCCUUCUGAGCAAGAAUUUCUUGUACUAUAGCAUAAAAAAAGGUGUUAGGUCUAGACAUUCCUUGGAAAUAGCAGUUCCUAUCCCUUUUAAAACCUGAUUUUGGUUUUUUCUGUUCCACGUAUACCUUUAGAGAGCACAAUCAAUUGCAAAACACUGUGCCAAAUACUAUAGGGAUGUGUGUGUGUGUGUGUGUGUGUGUGUAUUUAGGUAUUGUGAAAAAUGGUCUGUGAAGGUAUUUUUCAUGUGAUACUACACAAACACAUUUGAAAACCUCCACCUCAGCAGUGCGGGGAAGUUACAUUUUCCUGGGAAAAGGAGUUUCAAAACACCUGGUCAAAGUGGCUUUUCUCUUCCAGAGAGUCACUGUUCAGCCUGGGUCACUGCUCUGCUCACUGUAAGGUUCAAGUGUCUGAGGUCCUUAUUUCCUGAUAGACUCUUGGGUAUCGAGCAAUGAAGAUUAUUCGUAAUAGCCUUUGAUUAUAGAUCUGAGUGAGAGAGUGGUGGGUGUACUUGGCAAUUUCUGGGCUCGCUGAUCAGAUCUUCAGCAGCCUUGUCUGAGCCCCAGGUUGUAGGACAGAGUCCCAUUACUGAACCAGACUGUGAUAGAUAUCCAUUAUCAAAGUUUUCUGGCAUCUGUUAGGUGCCAUCUGAUAAAGUCAUUACUGCUUUGAAUCACAAAAUUGGAGCCCAGACACCAUACUCUUUAUUGCUGAACUCAAGUUCAGAAACGACCCUUUGUUUUAGACCAAGGUGGUUCUUCAUCCCAAGCAUUUAUUUGGGCCAUUCCCCCGUAGUUUGGAGUUCUGGGAAAGAACCUUGAAAACUUUAUUGAUUCUGCACCUUUAGAUCUGGAGCGACCAUUUGGGCUAAGCCCCAGUGGGCAAUUCUUUAUUGUGGUUUGCAUUUCCUGGGAUUUAUUGAAGUAAGAAUUGACUGUGAUUGUGCUGUCUUCUAGCCAGUGUCAUGCAGCUCUGCUUUUUAUUUGGUUAAUUAAUUUUCUCUGAAAUGGGGAAAAGAGACUCAAUUUAAUCUCUGCCUCCACAGACAUAUUAAAGUUCAUGUGUUAAUUCAUUUUUAUACUUCUACAUCAAAUGCCUUGGGCAAAUGGAUAAAUGGACGUGUGCUCAGCUUUAAUUUUUGUGCAACAGAAAGGUCAGAAUUCUCGUAUGGAUUUCAGUGGCCCUCUGGGUGUUUCUUAAAUCUAAAUGAAUGUUGCCUUUAAUUUUCCCUGUUUUUAUGGGCAUGUGGUUCAUGCACAUGAAAUCAGGAAGCAUUAUAGUUGAAGUAAGAGUGUUGUCCAGUUCCUUUGUCUUCCUGAGCCUUGUACUUUAUCUCAUGUCAGUGUUUACAUUACAAACAUACUGUAUUUUCUGUGAAAGAAAAAGUUAAAUAAAUCUUGGCGGUUUGAUUUUCCUUUUCUUAAAGUGACACCUUCUUUUGCUUUUAAACAUUUGGUGGAAACUGGAGGAGCUCAACUCCUCCCAUCAUCCCCAGUCUGUUCAGUAUACAGACCUGCCUUCCACAGGCCAAAGAGAUCAGAAGAAUGUUUAUUCUGGAAACUCAAGGACAGCAACUUUAGAAAAUCCAGCGUGAGUUUUAUUUUACUUGCAGAAAAUUAAGCACCAGUAGGAAUUAAUCAGUGUGUCCACGUUGUGCCUGG